GCUCCCAUAGGUCAAAGGUAGACCGCAGCAAUGGUAAUGCUGAAAUCGAAGUUCGAUUCUUCGUGGGAGCACCA
rnacentral:tRNA from 1 species